UUUUCAUUAUGUGCUUGUUGGUUAGAAGAUAUUGUCUGCUACCCUGGAAGUCACAUCGAUGUCGGCAGAGCACUAGGAACGCUACCCACUGUUUUCUCCUUAACUGUGGUUUAGAAAGGAAGGGCACAGGCUGAAGUCACACAGGGUGGGCAAGAUGGCUUGGUGGAUGGAGGCACUUGUCACUAAGGCUGAUGACCUGACCUCACCUUGGCACUCACGUCAUGGAAGGAGACAGUGGAUCUCCAUAAGUCUUCCUCUGACCUCUGACCUCUAUAUGCAUGCCGUGACACCUCCCUCCCCAGUAAAUAAGUGAAGAAAUAAGAUUAAAAACAACCGGUCAGGCGUGGUGGUACACGCCUUUAAUCCCAGCACUCGGGAGGCAGAGGCAGGCAGGUCAGAGGCAGGCAACUGAGGUUGAGGUGAAGUCCUAGCCUGUGCUGUUGUUCUCUGGGCCAUGCCUGGGUCCACAGCCCUGAAGCAGCAAGGGUCUAUAUUGAUGUGACUCAUGUUACCACCAAAGGCCAUGUGGAAGUCCCUGGUCUGGGCUGCUGCCUCAGGCCAUGUAGAUGUCUCAGGGCUGAGCAGAGCUAUCUGCCUCUCAAUGCCUUCAGCACUCCAGAGAGAUGGCUUGGCACCUUGCCUGGGCUGCACAGUAGAACUGGCCCUGGUGGUGGUGGGGCUCUGGUGAACUGGCCCCAAGGGCUGGAGAGCAGGAGAGCAGGCCCCGCCCCUUACUGGGGGAAGAGUGAGAGAAGCUGGAGGUCUGACCAACUCAGCUACCACCCAGGCCCAGAUCCAGGACUUUGAGUUAGCUCACCCCAAUAUCUACCCCAACUGCUGGAGCAUGUGAAAGGACUGGGCCUGCCAAACCAAAGCUGCAGGAUGUCUGUAACACAGGACAACAGUGGCAUAUCCAUGAGCAGUCCUGAGGAGGAGGAGCUAGAAUUAACGGUGUGGCAGAAGCCAGAUGCCUCAAACCAGAACAAUAUACUCAGCUCACCAACAGAACAACUCACUGUAAUGAGCAUUUGUAAGUAGAGCUGUGUGGACAAAGGGGUGACUGUGUGACAAACCAUGAUACACUGCAGCUUCCAAGGGGUUGUGCCACUGUUUAUGUUCUGGGACUGUUAUGGUUUAUCUGAGCUCCAAAUAAUCAGGAUACAAUUUACAGACCACAUGAAGCUCAAUAAGAAGGAAGACCAAAGUGUGGGUGCUUCGGUCCUUAGAACAACAAAAUACUCACAGGAGCAAAUAUGGAGAUAAAGCGUUGAGCAGAGACUGAAGGAAAGGCCACCCAGAGACUCUUACCUGGGGAUUUAUCCUGUACACAGUUUCCAAACCCAGACAUUGUGGAUGCCAAAAGUACAUGCUGAAAGGAGCUUGAUAUGGCUGUCUCCUGAGAGGCCCUGCCAGAGCCUUACAGAGGUGGAUGUUCGCAGCCAACCACUGGACUGAGUGCAGGGUCCCCAGUAGAGGAGUUAAAGAAGGUCUGAAGGGGUUGAAGGGGUUUACAACCCCAUAGGAAGAACAACAAUAUCAAGCAACCAACCAACGCCCCCUCAGCCCUCCCCCCAACUCCCAGGGACUAAGCCAUCAACAAAGUAGUAUACACAUGGCUCCAGCUGCAUAUGUAGCAGAUGAUGGACUUGUCAUACAUCAAUGGAGAAGAGGUUCUUGGUCCUAUGAAGGCUCGAUAGAUGCCCCAAUGUAGGGGAAUUGAGGUUGGGGAGGUGGGGGUGGGUGGGUGGAGGAACACCCUCAUAGAAGCAGGGGUUGGAAGGAUGGGAUAGGGGGUUUCCGGGAGGGAGGGAAACUGGGAAAGGGGAUAACAUUUGAAAUGUAAAUAAAGAAAAUAUCCAAUUAAAAAGAAACCAUGUCUUAGUUCCUCCUCAGAGAAGCCUGGCUGGUCCAGCCACCACCCUAGGAGUUGCAAAAUUAACAUCACUUUGUUUUUCUGGAGCAUUUUUUUACCCCCUUCCUUCUCCCCAACAAAUGGCAUAUAUUCUAAAAAGCUUUAUGCAACUAUACAUGCUCUUGUAUAUUUGGGUUUUUCAUAUUAUCAUGCAGCUUAGGUGAUUGCUCCACUGUGUGUGAAAAGGACCUCCCCUCCUUUCAUUUUUAAAUAUCACAUUAUAAUUGGAUUUAAUGAAGUACCAUCACUUAUUUAAUCCUAAUUAACAAAUAUUUACAUUGCUUUAUAUUGUGGGCACCCGUCUGCAAAAAUUUACUUUAUACCCAGGUCAUUUUACAUGGGGAGAAUCCGAAGGAUCAGAGAAUAUUUGAACUUUAUAGAAUUUCUGGGUUAAAAGACAAAGACACUCCGAUUACUUAUUUUGUAUCGGGGUUUUGCCUGCAUGUCUGUCUGUGCACCACCUGAGCUCUUGGGUGACCCCAGAAGCCACUGGAUCCUCUGAGACUAGAGUUACAGAUGGUAGUGAGCCACCACGUAGGUGGUGGGAAUCAAGGCUAGGUCCUCUGGAGGAGCGGUCAGUACUCUUAACUCCUCUCUCUUUAGGCUCUUGUUUACCUUUAUAAAACUAAGAUUGAAUUUAAAACAAUCUUGAUACAUUCUGAUUGGGAUAGCAUCUCACUAAUAAUUUAGGGAGAUAAUCUCCGCCUAAGACCCAUCAAUAAAAGUUUCUAAUUUAUUUUCUGUACAACUUGAGUCUUCUUUGUGAUUAUAAUGCCUUAAUAAUUCUUCAUAGCAUCUUCUAGGGACUAGUGGCAGUUAGGGUGAAUACUUUAAAAUACCAUAGAAAAUCUGAAUCCAGUUUUAUGCCUACUAUUUGGCAAUAUCUCAAAGGUAGAUCUUAUACAAAUUUAAAAAAUCCAUCAGGGGUUAAAACUUUCUAUUGAAAAGCUAGCCACUUGCAAGCAGAAUCUGCAGUGUACUUCAUAUAUGAUGCUCUAGCCAUCACUGUGCAGCGCAUGCCAGCCAUGGGGCCAACCCUCCGAGUUCUCAGGUCAGCUGGCUUGAAUGCUGCACAAAAACACCCAAGGUUUGGCUCUCUUCCCUGAUACUCAUUUUGGUUUUGCAGCGAGUCUGGUCAUGCCUGGAAAUUUGCUGACCAUAGUACUUGAGUCGGUAACUUUUGAAAGUGACACUGGUUUCACUGGCCUCUGUGUGCCCAAAGAUUUCAGGAUUCUGCUCGUCAGACAUACACUGCAGUUGUGAGUUCUCUUUGGGCUGGUGCUCAGGCGGCUUCACAAGCGGGUCCGAGGAAGAACGGGAGCUUGUCGGUUGACUGCAGAACAGGAAGGUCUGGAGGCGAAAGUUGCAUACCUGGGCACACCGGAGUUCCAGCCGGAGGCUCCUUAUCUGUAACCGUCGAAUGGCGAAAAGUUAUCUUUUAUACCUCUGGCAAAUGGCCACUCCAAAAAGGUCAGCCAAAACUUGAUAAGCUGGGUGCCUUCCACCAUCACCUGGUCCCACCAAGGAAGAGUGGAGAGCCUGCCCUAGUUACUGAACUAUUUAGGACUCAGGUAUGUUUUGACACACAACUGAGGGUAUUUUUGGAUGACAAUUCCAAAACAAUUAUUGUAUUCACCAUCUUGUUCCAGAACACUUUCUCAGAAACACGCGCAGUUAAGAGCUAAUUGGAACUUUAAAAAUGUAUAGUAGUGUGGUAGACAUUCCAAGGUAACGUGUCUUCUGCUAUCCCAUGCUUAAGAACAUUCCUUAACUCCCCCCUUUUUUCUGCAACAAAAAGACCUUGUGUUCUAAACCCGAAAGCACACAAGAAUGUGGACAGUGUAGUGUUUAAUGAAUGCUUCUCUUGUUUGGUACAACCAAGAAGUAGGACAAAGGCCAAGGCAAAACUUUGGGAGCAAGCGCUAAGUAAAUUAAAGGCAUAUGGAAUAUUUAAUCGUCAAGACAGACAAGGCUCCACAAUUUGGCUAGAAAACAGAUAAAAAUGAGCUGUGAGUGAGAUAGUGGUUCGACCUGCUGACGUCACUGGUUUGUUGCAGGUUGAGCAUGUUGCCAAAUUCGUGAAAUAGACUUCCUGAGUAGAGGACAGAGAAGGCUGCCAGGUCUUUGAUCACUCCUUUUCUAUUCCUACCGUGAUGGAGAUACCACAGGCUCUAAAUGGUAAGUACCGAUCAGGAGUCGUUAAUGACAGGUGAGGCAAGACCAUCAGCAAGAAGAAACCAUUACAAUAGUGUAGGCAGAAGGUACGUGGCAUCCAGGCAGAGAGCAUCCUCAAAUCCAGUGAAUUUCCUAAUUUUCCUUAAUAGAAUCCAUUGCAAACAAGCUAUAAAAGUGCCUUAGGUUUCUAUUGCUAUGAUAAACAUCGUAAACAAAAGAAACUUGGGAAAGAAAGGGUUUAUUUUAUCCUACAGAUAUAAUCACGAAGGGAAUUCAGGGUAGGGACUCAAGGCAGGAUCUUAAGUAGAGGCCAUGGAGGAACACUGCUUACUGGCUUGCUCUUAUGCUCAAGUUCAUCUACCUUUUAAUAAUUCCUGGGACCACUUCCCAGGGGUGACUCUGUCUAGGCUUCCCCUUCCAAAUCAUCAAUCAAUCAAUCAAUCAAUCAAUCAAUCAAUCAAUCAAUCAAUCAACAAAACAAGCCCACAGAUUUGCCUGUAGGUCAAUUAGAUGGCAUUUUCUCAAUUGAGGUUCCCUCUUCCCAAUGACUUUAGUAGCUGUGUUAAGCUGACAAAAGCCACCCAGGCUUUGCGGUUUAGCUUUAGACUUGAGAACUAUUAUCUUUGAAGCUGUGAGUGUUCUGCACUGUAAGGUCUGAAUGUGUUAUAUGUGGACUUCCUUGGCUCUGGUGCCAAGGAAUACAGUGGCCAGUUUCUAGCAGAAUGAAGGAUGUGGUGGCCACAGCUUGUGAGCAGACAGGCUCCACUACCCUUCAAUUAUCAAAAACAUAUUGACUAAAUUCGGAUUGAGAACGUUGGAACUGGACAAUGUUAGCAUAAGUGUUUUAAGGUUUUUGCCGUUCAAGCUGAUCACCGCAGAGAUAAAACAGGAAUCGUGGAUGCUUCAACAAAAUCAAAGGAUCUGAGAAAAUGCACUUGCCUUGUCUAAUAACAACGGGAGUCAAGGGAAAGGAGAGCCCCUUUGGACUCUCACAGCAGAGCAGAGUGGGUUUACUAUGGCAGACUGAGCUCAGACCAGAACAACAUGGUUACACGUUCAUGAAGUUUGGUGGGGUCAGUUAAUAUUUUUAAAGGUCAAGAUGAUAGGAGAGGGUGUGGUCAUCACCAAGGGAAGUUUGAGUGGUACUCCUAGCUAUUCCAUGUCUUCAAGGAAACAGCACUAAGGCGAUGUACUAAUACUUGGUCACCUGCAGUCGUGUGGAUCCAAGCAAGUGAGGGCAGAAUCGGAAAGAACAAUGCACCAGCACUGAACAUUAACAGGCUUUCCCCAUUGUUUCUUAAAUACAGCUCUUUGCCAAAAAUGUCCCUUACAUUAUAGAUUCCAAGUAACCUAGGUAGGUCAGUGUGCACAGAUGCUCAGGCUCGGUGUAAACUCCAUGCCAUGCUAUGUAUGGCACCUGCAGUCAUUUGUGCCAGCAGAAGGCCCUGAAUUUAGUCCUCCCUGGGCUUAGCACACCUUUUUUUUUUUUUUUUUUUUUUUUUUUUAAAUUUUACUCCAACAGAAUUCUGGCCAGUUGUAAUCAUCAUCCUAUGGGAUAUUUCCCAACAUGCCCUGGGAUCAGGGUGGGGAGGAAGCUGCACUCUGUCACAUAUAAAUGGAAAUACAGAAGGUAAGAGACAAUCCUAAGCAUGGAACCACCCUGUUCAAACAAAGGCGGAGGGAGAGUUCAUGCUAUCCAAUCUAGCAAGAGGCUAUUUUGGGGGAGCAUACAGACAUUCAGCAAAAGUGCUUCUCCUGGUCUCUAAAAACCCCACCAUACUUAAGUUGCAUGAAUUAACUUACACUGGAAAUUUCAGGAACGACCUUGCUGCUAUCACACACGAGAUGAGGACUGAGAGACAAACACCAAUCGUGUCACAUUCAUUUCCUUCCUAACCACAUUCACAUGUGUCAUCAGAAAGGUAAACUGUUUUCCUGGGUUUUUGUGUCUCCUGUCUCUUGCUAUCAUGAGUCUCAGACAUGCAAGGACGUCAGUUUAGAUCUGCUCAGACUCUUUAUGAAGCCUGAAGGAGUGAGAGAGAUAACUCUAGACACAAGUUAUGGGUAGUUCAGCCUGCCACUGGUCACCCUAAGAGGGGUGCAUGGAUAUGUAUCCCCCACCCCAAAGCCACUUUCUACCCUUAGGAAUUUCCUGUUAAUUUUUGAAACAGGCUGUGUGGUACAAGACAGGCCAGGAGGCAGUGACUUGAGCAGGGUGGAAGCACAGCCUUGUAAGAGGAAGGGACCAGAUGAGGGGGGAAGCGGCAGGAGUGAAGGGUGCUCAGGACUCCCUAAUAGAAGCUUGCCUUCUUAGCUAAGUUUGCACCCCUCCCAACAGCACUGGCUGAUGGUGAAAAGGCACCGAAUACAGCCAAUUCCCUACAUCCCCCUGCAAAGCUUUUUCUUUUUCUUUUUUUUUUUUUUGAGACAAAGUCUCAGUGUGCAGACUUGGCCGGAAACUCUAUGUAGACUAGAUUGGCUUUGAACUCACAUUAAUUGUACCUGUCUCUGCCUUCCUAGUGCUGGGGUGAAAGGCAUGUACCAUUAUGCUUGGCUUGAAGGAACGUCUAAAUUUGCCAUGUCUCACUUAUUUUCUGGCAUGACCUAUUAAUAUCUGCAGACCAUGCUUGGUAAAACUACUGCUCUGGCUUUCAAACUUGAUCAGUCUUCCCUUGGAGACCCCACUAUGUCCCCAGUCACUGUGAAGUCAGUUCCCUGUUAAGCCUGGAGCCCCUGUUUCCAUGACCUUUACUGCUAUGUGAAACUAAAACAGGGUUGGACCAGAGGACUCUAUAAACGCGAUACAGUUUCAGGGUUGGAGAGAUGGCAAAGCACUGGGGGCUCUUACAUGGUGGUUCACACCACCUGUAACUCCAGUUCCAGGGAAACCAGCCCCCUCUUCUGAUCUGUUGGCACCGGACAUACAUGUGAUUUUGGAUAUGCAAUGCAGGUAAUAUUUGUAAAUAUAAAAUAAAUCUAAAAAAAUACAGAAUCUACACAAUUUGAGGGUUCUUUGGAAAUAUUCACUGAAGACCGAGAAAGAGCGUAUCUCAGGUCAUUACCACUGCAGGGCUAAGUUUCCCUCAGGGCCGUGUCCAUUUAGCAGGCGCCAGCACCAUAGGGGUAAGGAGUGACUUGAGCGUCAUGGUUCAGAUUCAGCCUGAGCAACCAGCUCUUGGCAGAAGCCUGGGGCCUGGGUAGCAGCGGGGUAGGGGUGCGAAAGGAGAAUAAACAGACCACAGCGGUCCACACUCGGUUUGGUAGUUUCUUUUUUUUCUAGACACUAUUGGUACAUUAUCUGUUCAGCUCUGCCUUGGCCACUGAUUCCUCAUAGAUCUUGGCCUGUUUCCGUAACUAGUGUAAGAUUCAAAAACAUUUUAAAGACUUUCGGUCACUUUCUCAAAGUCUUAGAUGCCUUGUUCAUUAGAAUCCAAGGAAACCGUAACCGACGAGGAUGGUCAACUACUCAUCUUUGUUUGACAGGUCUGCUAAUAAAACCGGUUUAGUCUGACUCCACUUGGAGGGGUUCAGGGGCCACUGCUGGAAGGAUAGUGUCGCAGUUGCUGACACUGCACUCAUUCUAAGGGUGCUUUCUAUGUGUGAGGGCGGGUGCAUACUAUGGCAGUGUGUAGGGGACCGAGGGUAGUCUACAGGAGUCAGAGCUCUCCUUCUACCAUGUGGGGUUCUGGGAAUUGAACUCAGGCCACUGGGCUUGGCUGUCUUUAACCACUGAGCCACACGUGUCCCAUGAUUUCUUUCCUAGCUGUCUACUCAUGUAUGUAUAGCACACUACCUACCACAUACUCACUAUGUAACCUCCCAAGGGCUGGGACUACAGGUGUAUUCCAGGUUCAUGUGCUGGUGGGUAUUAAAUCCAAUACAUUUCAUGCAUGUUUGGCAAAUUACUCUACCAGUUGAGUUCCAAGUCUACUGCUUAAAGCAGCCUUAAGCCUAGGGCAACCCUUCCACCUCGGCUUCCCAUGUGCUGGGAUUACAGGUGCAUAGCCCCGUGCCCCAUUUGCUUUACAGGUCAGGGAGGCCACAGCAUGGAGGCAGAGACUGAUGAGAGUUUUUGGGUCUGAGAUCUUUGAAGUAAGCACAAAAGCUAACUUUCUGGUAUAAAGGCUAAGAUUCUCAAGACUUAGAAAGUCAGUAUUAUUUUGUAAUUAUGUCCUAUAAUAGUUAUAUUGGAUUAUGAGAAAAGUGUACCAAAAAGGGCAAUCACUGCUGAAAAAGUUAGGAGUAAAAGGCUUCAGAAAGGCCAAUGUUAAAGGAAUACUAAGAUUUAGCUCCAAAUAGUCUCUUUAUCCAACCUAAUUGGGUUAAAGUUUGUGUGAUCAGGACUCAAGAGACUCAGCAUGGACACAGGGAGAGAAUAGAAUUUUAAUAGUAUCAAAAUCAGGACUUUUGGGGGUCGAUUCAGUACUUGCUGGAAUAAAAUCGCCAACUGUUACUUGGUAACUGACUUAUCUUCUAAA